rnacentral:rRNA from 1 species
AGACGGAGGAUCCGAGCGUUAUCCGGAUUUAUUGGGUUUAAAGGGUGCGCAGGCGGCCAUUUAAGUCAGCGGUUAAAUCGUGGGGCUCAACCCCAUUCUGCCGUUGAUACUGGGUGGCUUGAUUGCGGUCGAGGUUGGGGGAAUUCGUUGUGUAGCGGGGAAAUGCAUAGAUAUGACGAAGAACAACGAUUGCGUAGGCAGCUGACCAGACCGCAAAUGACGCUCAUGCACGAAAGUGCGGGGAUCGAACAGGAUUAGAUACCCUGGUAGUCCGCACAGUAAACGAUGAAUACUUGUUUUCGGCGAUAUAAUGUCGGAGGCAAAGCGAAAGCGAUAAGUAUUCCACCUGGGGAGUACGCCGGCAACGGUGAAACUCAAAGGAAUUGACGGGG